rnacentral:rRNA from 1 species
AAUAGAUACCCGGGUAGUCCACGCCCUAAACGAUGUCAACUAGUUGUCGGGUCUUCAUUGACUUGGUAACGUAGCUAACGCGUGAAGUUGACCGCCUGGGGAGUACGGUCGCAAGAUUAAAACUCAAAGGAAUUGACGGGGACCCGCACAAGCGGUGGAUGAUGUGGAUUAAUUCGAUGCAACGCGAAAAACCUUACCUACCCUUGACAUGUAUGGAACCCUGCCGAGAGGUGGGGGUGCCCGAAAGGGAGCCAUAACACAGGUGCUGCAUGGCUGUCGUCAGCUCGUGUCGUGAGAUGUUGGGUUAAGUCCCGCAACGAGCGCAACCCUUGUCCCUAGUUGCUACGCAAGAGCACUCCAGGGAGACUGCCGGUGACAAACCGGAGGAAGGUGGGGAUGACGUCAAGUCCUCAUGGCCCUUAUGGGUAGGGCUUCACACGUCAUACAAUGGUCGGAACAGAGGGUCGCCAACCCGCGAGGGGGAGCCAAUCCCAGAAAACCGAUCGUAGUCCGGAUCGCACUCUGCAACUCGAGUG